CCCUUAGAUGUUCUGGGCUGCACACGCGCUACACUGAAGGGAUCAGCGUGUUCUUUUCCUGGUCCGAAAGGAUCGGGUAACCCGCUGAACCCCCUUCGUGGUAGGGAUCGGAGCUUGCAAUUAUUCUCCGUGAACCAGGAAUUCCCAGUAAGCGCAAGUCAUAAGCUUGCGUUGAUUACGUCCCUGCCCUUUGUACACACCGCCCGUCGCUACUACCGAUUGGACGUUUUAGUGAGGAUUUUGGACUGAGCCAAUGGUGGUUCACACCACUGUUGUGCAUGGAAAGAUCUCCAAACUUGAGCGUUUAGAGGAAGGAGAAGUCGUAACA
rnacentral:rRNA from 1 species